AGCGAACGCUGGCGGCAGGCCUAACACAUGCAAGUCGAACGGAUCCUUCGGGAUUAGUGGCGGACGGGUGAGUAACACGUGGGAACGUGCCCUUUGGUUCGGAACAACUCAGGGAAACUUGAGCUAAUACCGGAUGUGCCCUUCGGGGGAAAGAUUUAUCGCCAUUGGAGCGGCCCGCGUCUGAUUAGCUAGUUGGUGAGGUAAAGGCUCACCAAGGCGACGAUCAGUAGCUGGUCUGAGAGGAUGAUCAGCCACAUUGGGACUGAGACACGGCCCAAACUCCUACGGGAGGCAGCAGCGGGGAAUCUUGCGCAAUGGGCGAAAGCCUGACGCAGCCAUGCCGCGUGAAUGAUGAAGGUCUUAGGAUUGUAAAAUUCUUUCACCGGGAACGUUAAUGACGGUACCCGGAGAAGAAGCCCCGGCUAACUUCGUGCCAGCCGCCGCUGUAA
rnacentral:rRNA from 1 species